rnacentral:rRNA from 1 species
AGAGUUUGAUCCUGGCUCAGGAUGAACGCUGGCGGCGUGCUUAACACAUGCAAGUCGAACGGGAAACCUUUUAUUGAAGCUUCGGCAGAUUUAGAUUGUUUCUAGUGGCGGACGGGUGAGUAACGCGUGGGUAACCUGCCUUAUACAGGGGGAUAACAGUCAGAAAUGACUGCUAAUACCGCAUAAGCGCACAGAGCUGCAUGGCUCGGUGUGAAAAACUCCGGUGGUAUAAGAUGGACCCGCGUUGGAUUAGCUAGUUGGUGAGGUAACGGCCCACCAAGGCGACGAUCCAUAGCCGGCCUGAGAGGGUGAACGGCCACAUUGGGACUGAGACACGGCCCAGACUCCUACGGGAGGCAGCAGUGGGGAAUAUUGCACAAUGGGGGAAACCCUGAUGCAGCAACGCCGCGUGAAGGAAGAAGGUUUUCGGAUCGUAAACUUCUAUCAACAGGGACGAAGAAAGUGACGGUACCUGAAUAAGAAGCCCCGGCUAACUACCUGCCAGCAGCCGCGGUAAUACGUAGGGGGCAAGCGUUAUCCGGAAUUACUGGGUGUAAAGGGAGCGUAGGCGGCACGCCAAGCCAGAUGUGAAAGCCACGAGGCUUAACCUCGUGGAUUGCAUUUGGAACUGGCGAGCUAGAGUACAGGAGAGGAAAGCGGAAUUCCUAGUGUAGCGGUGAAAUGCGUAGAUAUUAGGAAGAACACCAGUGGCGAAGGCGGCUUUCUGGACUGAAACUGACGCUGAGGCUCGAAAGCGUGGGGAGCAAACAGGAUUAGAUACCCUGGUAGUCCACGCCGUAAACGAU